CUUGGUUGAUCCUGCCAAUAGUCAUAUGCGUGUCUCAAAGAUUAAGCAAUUCAUGUGUAAGUAUGAACUAAUUCAAACUAUGAAACUGCGUAUUGCUCAUUAAUUCAAACUAGAGCUAAUACGUUCAACAAACCCUGACUUCUAGAAGGGACAAAUUUAAUAGAUAAAAGGUCGACGCAGGCCCAGUCCAUUGCUUUAAUCAUCGCACGGCCUUUGUGUUGGCUAUGAAUCGUUCAAAUUUCUGCCUUAUCCAAGGAAGCCUGAGAAUUAGGGUAGUGAUGGGUGACGAACAAUUAGUGUUUGAUUCUAGAGAGGGAGCUUGAUAAACGACUACCACAUCCAAUGAAGGCUGCAGUCCCCCAAAUUACCCAAUCCUGACAAGUGGAGGUAGUGACAAUAUGUAACAGUAUUGGGCUUUUCGAGUCUGUAAUUGGAAUGAGUACACUCUUAAUCCCUUCACAAGGAUCCAUUGGAGGGCGAUUCUAGUUCCAGCAGCCGCGGUAAUUCUAGCUCCAAUAGCGUAUAUUUAAGUUGUUGUAGUUAGACAGCUCUUAGUUGGAUCUUAGGAUAUGUCUGUUGGUCUGCCUCAUGGUGUCCACCGUCAGUCGCAUCCUUUCUACCGGCGAUGCAUUAUUGGCUUUAAGCAAGCCUUCACUCUGUAUACAUUAGCAUGAGAUAACUUCAUAGGAUUUUGAUCCUAUUUUGUAGGACUUCAGGAUCAAACUAAUGAUUAACAGGGACAGUCGGAGGCAUUUGUAUUUCAUAGUCAGAUGUGAAAUUCUUAAAUUUCUGAAAGACAAAAAACUGCAAAAGCAUUUUCCAAGGAUAAUUUCACAAAUCAAGAACAAAAGUUUGAGCUCAAAGAUGUUAAGAUAUCGUCCUAGUCUCAACCAUAAACGAUGCCGACUAAGGAUCAGCAAAUUUUGCUUAUAGGACAUUACCGGCACCUUUUGAGAAAUCAAAGUCUUUGGGUUUCCGGGGGGUAUGGUCGCAAGGCUGAAACUUAAAGGAAUUGACGGAAGGCCACCAAUAGGAGUGGAGCUUUCAGCUUAAUUUGACUCAACACAGAGAAACUUACAAGGUCCAAACAUUGUAAGGAUUGACAGACUGAGAGGUUUUUCUAUUUUUUUGAUAAGUAAAUUUAUAUUAAAACACAAAAAAUAUAGAAUGUAUCAUUUUGGGACCUUAGCCAAAGGGAAAGAAGCUACAAGUUAGCAACUCAUCCCAUCUUUCAGCCAAGGCCAAGCCACAAAGAGACAACAACAAGAGAAAGACAGCCAUAGGUCGGUGCCUCCAUACAUAUCAAGAAAAAAAAUCAAUAAUUUAAUAAUAGAAAGCCUAAACAGACAUGUGCACGAAACAUAAAUAUAGUUAUCAUCCAAAGUAAAAGCACUAAUAAUGGAUUAAGCAUCUAAACAGUGAAAAAUACUAUCC
rnacentral:rRNA from 1 species